GAUGAAGAACGUAGCGAAAUGCGAUACGUAAUGUGAAUUGCAGAAUUCAGUGAAUCAUCGAAUCUUUGAACGCACAUUGCACUCUCUGGUAUUCCGGAGAGUAUGCUUGUUUGAGUAUCUGUAAACAUCUCAAAUCUCUCUUCAAUUGCUUCAAUUGGGUCGAGAGAAUUGGAUUUGAGCGAUCCCGACUCCUUCGUCAGAAAGAGGAGGGUCGCUUGAAAUGCAGGUGCAGCUGGACAUUCUUAUGAGCAAAAAGCAUAUCUAUUUAGUCCCGUCAAACGGAUUAUUACUUUUGCUUCAGCUAAUAUACAGGUUGAAUGAACUACCAACGCUGAUUGCAGGAAAACAUGUUCGUUUAUUCGGACUUGUAAACUCGAUCUCAAAUCAAGUAAGACUACCCGCUGAACUUAAGCAUAUCAAUAAGCGGAGGA
rnacentral:misc_RNA from 1 species